GUACUUUUUGUGUGGUGUGGAAGUGUUUGUUUUUUGCAAUAGAUUUUUGUUGCAGUUUAGGUUUGUAUUUUCUUUGUUUUGUAGUGCUUAUUAUGAAGGUUCGUAGGUUUAUGUCUGUAGGCCAGGCAGGUCAUUAAACUUAACAAAGAAUAAGUAAGUCGGGAGAGGGGAAUAGAAAUCUCCACAUACAUAUUCUUAAAAGCUGUAACACUCACCACAAAGAUCUGCUGAGUGAAGUCUGUGAGACGAACGCACCAAGUCUGGACGCUCUGUCAGGCUACAUUUUACGUUUUUGGGAGUGAGCAGGUGUUAUUCUGUUCCCCGGGUUGGUUUUGAAGUCAUGGCUCUCAAGUAAUUUUUGUGCUUCUCAAAAGUGCUGGAAUUGCAAAGAGUUCAAACAUUGAAUUAGUUGUGCAAUGGAAGGAGUAUUACCAGGACCCAGAUGCAGCCCAAGGAAAAAAGAAAACAAAAGGAGACACACACAGACACCAGAGCAUGAUGCAAGUGUGGCUUAAUCGGUGCUUGCACAUUGGGCUUGUUCUUUCCAAACCUGUUGCCCCGAUUCUGCAAGGCUAUCCUGCUGUAGAAGGAGGCCCUGGAGGACAAGACACCAUGUGGGGAAAACAGCCAUGGGGAGCAGAACCGAGGUAUCCCAGCUUAGCUCCCAACUGACAGCAGCCACAUGAGUGAGCAGAAAAACAACUUCCAAGGGUGAUUUAGCUACUGCUGCUGUGGAAUGUCAAAACUUUCAGCAAGGGAGCCCGAUGCAGAUCUGUUGAUAUGACACCAUUCCACAAGAAGACCAACUGAUGGCUUUGUGGCAAGUUGACUACACUGGGCUGUUUCUAUUCUGGGAAGACAGAGAUUUGUUCUAAGAGGAAUAGGCAUGUGUUGCAGGCAUAGGUUGACCUUUCCUGCCAUGGAGCCUCCUCUGGUACCACUAUUUGAAGGUUGAAGGAAUGUUGAUUCACCAGGAUUGAGUCAGACCAGCCAAGCCUAUGACCAUGAUGUCAACUGACUGUAUCACCUGUCACAUCAUCCAGAAGCUACAGACUUAUAAGGCAUUGGAAUAACUUGUAGAUGGCCCCGUUAAAGUACCAGCUUAGAGGCAACACUCCAUGAGAAUGAGACAUCAUCUCCAGGAUGGCACAUACACAUUGAAUCACACAGCAUUGAUAAGGAGAUGGCUCCCCAGUAGGAAGAAUAUAUUGGUCAUGAACCAAGGGAUGAAGCAGAAGUGUCUUGCUUCCUGUCCCUGCAGCCUCUCUUUCUGCAGUGCUAGAAAUCCUGGUCAAAAGGGGGCAUAAUUUUAUCAGGGGACACAGCAAAAGUCUCCACUACAUUGCAGCUAUGCCUGCUGCCUGGGGAUUUUGGGCUUCUUAUAAUUGGGACCAGCAAUAAAAGAGAAGAGUCACAGUCUUGGCAGGGCUAAUUGACCCUGAUCAGCAGGAGAAGAAAGGCUGUGGUUCCACUAUGAGGGUAGGGAAGACGUGUGGCACCACUGAUCCACUUUUGCAACCCAUGGUACUCCCGUGGCCAGUUGUGAUGACAGACAAGUGCAGGAACACUUUUGGGAAGGGCAUGGUGGCCAGAGUUCAGACCCCAUGGGAAUGAGGACCAGGGUCACACCACUGGAUAAGCCAGGAGGAAGAGAGGCCCACUGGAAGGCUGGAGGAGCUGCUCCCCAGAUGUAGAUGAAGUAGAUUUGAGCAGCACAGUGGUGGACCUAGUAGAGGCGGACAUCAAGAUCCUCUUCAAGGAAAGAUUAUCAAUAUAGUUUUCCCUGACCCAGGCAACCGUUGAAUCCAAGUUUUGCCCACUGAAUCCAUCAAAUUGUUACAGCCAAUUCUAGAUGCCUGAGUGGACACAUGAAAUCCAGAUUCCCCAGUAAGCGCAUCCCCAUUAAUAAACUGACCAAAUGCAAUGUUAAUCUGUUCUAUAACCUUUAGAAUCCAUCCCAACAUAUAUUUUUUAGGUUCCUGCCAAGAUAUGUUAGCAAAAGCUUGCAAUUUUUUGAAAAAUGAAUUAUCUCUUCCUGGGACAUGUGUUGUACUUUUCUCUCUGAAAUAGGCUGAGCUCUGACUCCAUUAAAAGUCUGAAAGCAAUGAAGAGUGAAGGAGCGGAUAUUGGGGAGAAUAGGCAUCCUCUUGCAAGAUAACUGCCUCAAAGUCAUUAUAAGGUUUUCAAGCAAGAGAAAGCUAAUUUCCUUACACAUAUGAAGAAGCGUUGCUUCUCCUGGCAAGAAAUACACAGUGAAUCAGGGAUUCAAAAUUCUUAGCUUUAUCUAAGUUUACCCAGAUGUGUCUAUCCUUCCCAAUCAGUGCUCUUGGCAGGAGACUUGGCAAGUCUGCGAAGUCAACUUAUGUUAUAAUUCUGCAACCCACACAAGUUCUUAUUUUCAAUGAGGGUAACCUUGCAGCCACACAAAAUAGCAAAAUUUUUUAAGGAGUACCAUAGACACACUCUGGUUCUCUGUGUUCAGUGUUUUAAGCCUAUCUUUUUGUUCCCCUGUAAGCUCUUCAAUGUAGUCCAAAAUACACCAUCUGUGGUAGGCAGAAUUCUAAGAAGGUUCCAAAGAUUCUCACCCAUGGUGUAGAGAACUUGUAUAAUUUUCUCCCCUAAAGUGUAGGUGGAGCCCGUGAAUAGGAUGGGAUAUUAAUACCAUGAUUGUGUUAUAUUUUGAGACAAAAAAAAUUUUGUAGAUGUAAUUAAAGGUACUAAUCAGUUGACUAUGAGUUUAUCAAAAGGGAGAUCAUCCAGGUGGGCCUGACCUAAUCAUAUCAGCCCUCUAAAUCCUGGUCUAUGGGUCAGAGAAAGAGGAAGGCAGAGAUUUAAAGCAUGAGAGAAAUUCAAAGCAAACUAGAUUCUCCAUUGCUGUCUUUGAAGACAGGCAGCCAUGUGGCAAGGAAUGUGGGUAGCCGAUAGUGGCCGAUGACAGCUCCCAGCCCACACUUCAAGUUUAGCCUCGUAGGGCCCUGAGCAGGGGACACAACUAUACUGCAUUUACAAC
rnacentral:lncRNA from 1 species